AACGAACGCUGGCGGCAUGCCUAACACAUGCAAGUCGAACGAGAUCUUCGGGUCUAGUGGCGCACGGGUGCGUAACGCGUGGGAAUCUGCCCUUUGGUUCGGAAUAACAGUUGGAAACGACUGCUAAUACCGGAUGAUGACGAAAGUCCAAAGAUUUAUCGCCAGAGGAUGAGCCCGCGUAGGAUUAGCUAGUUGGUGUGGUAAAGGCGCACCAAGGCGACGAUCCUUAGCUGGUCUGAGAGGAUGAUCAGCCACACUGGGACUGAGACACGGCCCAGACUCCUACGGGAGGCAGCGGUGGGGAAUAUUGGACAAUGGGCGAAAGCCUGAUCCAGCAAUGCCGCGUGAAUGAUGAAGGCCUUAGGGUUGUAAAGCUCUUUUACCCGGGAUGAUAAUGACAGUACCGGGAGAAUAAGCCCCGGCUAACUCCGUGCCAGCCGCCGCGGUAA
rnacentral:rRNA from 1 species